GAUGAAGAACGUAGCGAAAUGCGAUAAGUAGUGUGAAUUGCAGAAUUCAGUGAAUCAUCGAAUCUUUGAACGCACAUUGCGCCCCUUGGUAUCCCGAGGGGCAUGUCUGUUCGAGCGUCAUUUCACCACUCAAGCCUGGCUUGGUGUUGGGCGACGUCCUCUUUGGGGACGCGCCUCGAAACGCUCGGCGGCGUGGCACCGGCUUUAAGCGUAGCAGAAUCUUUCGCUUUGGAAGUCGGGGCCCCGUCUGCCGGAAGACCUGCUCGCAAGGUUGACCUCGGAUCAGGCAGGGAUACCCGCUGAACUUAAGCAUAUCAAUAAGCGGAGGA
rnacentral:misc_RNA from 1 species